rnacentral:rRNA from 1 species
AACACAUCUCUCAGCGAUGGAUGUCUGGGCUCGAACGCCGAUGAAGGGCGCAGCGAAGUGCGAUAAGCAUUGCGAAUUGCAGAACUCAGUGAAUCAAUAGGGUCUUGAACGCAUGCUGCGCUCUUGGGAUAAUCCCGAGAGCUCGUCUGUUUCAGAGUCUGCGUCACAUU